rnacentral:lncRNA from 1 species
AAAUGUGUAAGGUUGGCUAGGCGCAGUAACUCAUGCCUGUAAUCCUAGCAUUUUAGGAGACUGAAGGAGGAAGAUCUCUGAGGCCAGGAGUUUGAGAGUGGCCUGGGCAACAUAGUGAGGCUCUGUCUCUAAAAAUAAAAUUUAGAAAUAUCCAGGCAUGGUGGUAUGCACUUGUAGUCCCUGCUAUUGGAAGGCUGAGGUGGGAGGAUCACUUGAGCCCAGGAGUUGAAGCUGCAGUGAACCUAUAAUGGCAUGCUCUGCAGCCUGCGUGACACAGUGAGACCCUAUCUCUACAUAAUAAAUAAAAUAAAACAAAACAAAAUAAUAAAAUAGCUGAUGUCUAACUAUAAUCAUGUGUACAACUGUCAAACUUUGGAUGAGGAAGUCUUAAAAUAACUUACACUAUAACAACAGUGAAAUGUGGUAAUUAUUUCAGAUAUUAACUGUAGGACUGUUGCUGAAUUUUCAGACGACUGGCUCCCCAAAAAUGCAGUUUAAC